GUGGAUUUGGUCCUCCAGGAGCUGAACGCAUGGAUGCCUUCAAAUUUUUGGAAGUUGUUAACUCUACCAGAGAUCGAUAAAUCUCUUUGAUUUUUAACGAAUUGACAGAAAUAUUCUCAUUCCUGAUUGCCCCAACUUCUACUGAUGUAUUGAGAAGGAGAAGAACAACAACAAACAUGAAGAAAUGAAAGUUAUUCAUGAUGAAACUGAAAAUAAUAUGAUUUUUCUUCAAAUGUGUUGAUUUUUGCUUUUUAUGAUUCAUCUUUAUAUAAUGUUUCAAACUUUUUUUUUCAUCUUAGUAGAGUAAAUUGACAUAGACUUUUUACCUAAAAAACAUCAAAUAGGAUUAGUCAUAUUUAAUGAAAACAUUUAUGUUAUCUCAAAUGUCAAAUAUCAUUUAAUGCAAACAUUUAUUUAACUUAUAAUUGAGUAAGUCAUCAAAUACGUCAUGAUUUUAAUAUCUUUUAGAAAAAACCUCUUUUGAAAUAUCCUAAGUAUAAAACAACUUAAGAAAAUACUUUAAAAAAAAGAGUGACCACUUAAUUUUUUAAAGAAAUUAAGAAAACUUAAUUUAAAAAGAUCUUAACAGAUAAACCUUUAAUAUUUUAGAGAAAAUGGAUAAGAGGUUCUUAUCUAUGUUUUAAGAAGGUAUUAGCAUUUAAAGUAACCGCUAACGUGCAGUUAUCCGACGAUUUGAAAACUAUUUAACUAACUUUGGGAAAAUGACUUUUGAAAUAAAUUAAGGCAUUUAAAACUAUUUAAAAAGAAAUUAACUUUAAAUACUUGAAAUGAUUCGGGAAGAGAGUAAACUUUAUCAAAAAUGACCAAGUAAGGAAAGGUAAUCAAAUAAAAUCAUUUAAAAGAUUAAAUUAACAUGAAAGGUUCAUCUUUAGGGAGAUUUAAUCAAAUUAAACUAGGCAUUUGAAGUUAAGAGUUUUAAUACAAGAAUAAGAACAAGCAAAUAACAAUAAUAAAGUAAAGAACAUUUUCAAACUUGGGCCUUUUUGCCCAAAUUCAAAGCUGUUGGGCUAGCAGGCCCAAACUUGUCCUAAAUUCUAAAUUAAGUUGCACCGAUUGGGCCUUGCUUUGGCCCAAACUUCGCUUUGAAAUCUGUCCAUUUUAGUCCUCUUUUGGAGUGGUGUUACACUUGGGCUUUUCUAGCCCAUUUUUCGUCCUUUUAUCAAGUAUACAUCUCUUUAGAUUAAAAUAUAUCAAGUGUAUAUCAACAUUAUAUACCAGUACAUAUUGUCUGUAUACAGCCUAUUUUUCCCUAUAUCUCUGUAUAUAAGCUAUAUAUAGGUUAUAUAUAGCCCAUUUUUCCCACUAUCUCUGUAUAUAAGCUAUAUAUAGGUGUAUACAACCCAUUUUCAACCUUUAAACCCGGUAUAUUAGCUUCCAUUUUAACUGUGCAUACUUAUUUCCCAUGAGAUGAGAUAGACUCGAAGAAAAAGACUUUUGGGCCUUUGUGGCCCAUUAGGAAAUGCAAAAUAGAGUCCAGUGGACUGGCGGAGGGAUUCAUACGACAAAGAAAAAUAGGAACCACAUUAGUGCAAGGGAAAAUUCAAUAAUUUGAGGGAAAAACACAUUCAAAACGGGUUGUGGUGCAGUGGUGGGACUGCUUCAUCCUUAACCAGAGAUCUCGGGUUCAAGUCCUAGGUAUGAAAAAUAUCUUGUUGGAAGUGCUCCCCGAAUGAGCCCUGCAGUGCGCGAUCAAGAUUUAGUCGGAGUUCUAAUGUGGACUCCGAACACCAGGUGGGAAGCCAAAAAUAAAAAACUCAAACAUAAUCAACUCACACCAAAAAAUAAACUAUGCUAAGUGUGGAAGUUCAGGUGGACAUUUGUAAUCAUAUGAACUACGCUCAUGGUUUAUCAAUCUUGGAAGCAACUUCACAAAGAUUUAACAACUUAAAUUUAUCCAUUCAUAGGAUUAGAAAUUUAAUUAAUUCAAGGGAAGUGCUAAGGAUCAAACUCAAACUAUUCAUGGUAGGGUUGUUCAAAAUCGAACCGAAACCGAUAACCCGAACCGAAAAAAAGUUAUUGAUUUAUCAGUAAUGGGUUAUUGGUUUAGCAGUUUUGAUAACGGUUUUGAUUUUUUUUUGUUAUCGGGUUAUCGGUUCUUAAACGGUUUGAGGUUUUUUCUUAACGGGUUAACCGAUAAUCCGAUAGUAAAUUAAAUAAUUAUAUUUAUAUCAUUUUGUAUAUAAAGUCCCUGACUUAGAGUUUGAUUUCCUACUUUUAUUUCUGGUUGUCUCAAACACACUUGGUUGUUCUACAAUGUAAAAGUGUUUGAUUUUGAGCAAGAUGUAACUUGUGAACUCAUGUAUGGUUCAUUUGGUUUGUCACCUUGUUUCCAAGUGAUUUUCAAAUUUUUUUGUUUGUCAAAUCUUAACGGUUAAACCGAUAACGAUCAAUAACCGAUAAACCAAUAAUCGAUAAGCUAAUAUCUUAAUGAUUCUAUAACGGUUUAGCAUCUCUACAAAUCGAUAACCAAUAAGCCAAACUAAUAAACUUCAAAACCGAAUCGAACCGAUCGAUACGCAACCUUAAUUCAUGGCAUUCCAAAGGAAACACAAGUGAAAAACAAUCUUGUGGUUCAAAAUAUCAAACAUGUAAGACAUUACUACGAUACUAGAAAUAUUAUCUAACAAUUAAACCUACAAGUAAACUACAUACUAAAACAUAUUAAAAACCAAGAGCUAAAGAAAAAAGAAAAGGAAAUUACUUCUGCCAAUAUGAAUAAUCAACUAAAACAUUCAAAUCAUGUCAAGAACAACAGGCAGAAUCCCAUCCUUUACUGAAAAUUAUCAAACAAAUAAUCAACUAAAACAAAACAAGCAAAGCUGAUACGAGAAAGAGGACUUAAGAGUAGCAAGCUUGCAUACAUUUUAUGGAGCAGCGAAGCUGAGAAGACCAAGUUGAAGAUGACUUCACCUGUUAAGAAUGAAAUCUCCGACGAAAAGCUUCAAAAUGAGACCCCGAGACUCAAAAUUCUUAACUUAGUAACUAUAGAAAUCAAUUUCUUUUUUAUGAAUCUAUAUCUCUGUG
rnacentral:lncRNA from 1 species